GGGUUGUGAGGUUAAGCGACUAAGCGUACACGGUGGAUGCCCUGGCAGUCAGAGGCGAUGAAGGACGUGCUAAUCUGCGAUAAGCGUCGGUGAGGUGAUAUGAACCGUUAUAACCGGCGAUUUCCGAAUGGGGAAACCCAGUGUGUUUCGACACACUAUCAUUAACUGAAUCCAUAGGUUAAUGAGGCGAACCGGGGGAACUGAAACAUCUAAGUACCCCGAGGAAAAGAAAUCAACCGAGAUUCCCCCAGUAGCGGCGAGCGAACGGGGAGGAGCCCAGAGCCUGAAUCAGUGUGUGUGUUAGUGGAAGCGUCUGGAAAGGCGCGCGAUACAGGGUGACAGCCCCGUACACAAAAAUGCACAUAUUGUGAGCUCGAUGAGUAGGGCGGGACACGUGGUAUCCUGUCUGAAUAUGGGGGGACCAUCCUCCAAGGCUAAAUACUCCUGACUGACCGAUAGUGAACCAGUACCGUGAGGGAAAGGCGAAAAGAACCCCGGCGAGGGGAGUGAAAAAGAACCUGAAACCGUGUACGUACAAGCAGUGGGAGCCUCUUAAUGGGGUGACUGCGUACCUUUUGUAUAAUGGGUCAGCGACUUAUAUUCUGUAGCAAGGUUAACCG
rnacentral:rRNA from 1 species